AUGCUGGCUCGAAGUGUCGCCCUGGCUCGUCGCUUUUCGUCGCGGAGGGCGUCGUCGAUUGCGAGCGAAGUCGAGGUAGGGCUUCGUGAGAGGUCGAUGGUCAAUCGGCUCGCCGCUGUUUUGACCAGGUUAUUCGUCGUCACCCGCGGCGUUCUGCAUUUAGGGUUCGUUGAUACUGCAAAGAUUUCUAUCGGAAGACGAUGAGCGGAAUCUGAUGUACUUCACCGACCAAUGCUAGCUCAUGAUUUUGCCAAGUACUUCUGGGAGUCUGGUGACUGGGUUCAGUCAAGUUGGGAUUCAAAGUAAUGCUCGAUGAAGCACUGAUUGAUCAAGGCCAUGCACUAGGCUCUCGUCUUGGCCCAUGUGGCCUCGGUUGGAGAGGCACACUCAAUUUUACUUACAACGUUAGUGGUCUUCUUCUCCCUCGGCAAAACAGAGUAUCCCGCUCCCCAUCCCCUGCUUACAUCGAAAGCAUUGACGGAUGAGAUCGUUGUAGAUAAGAACACCUUAAUUGAUGACAUACAUUUUUUUUAAUACUAGGUAUUUAAAUCUUACAACCCUAUUAAUCUCGAGUAAACGAUUUGAUCUCAUAUUUCAUUCAUCAAAUAAAUUCAAGAAACAUUGUAA